GAUUAACGCUGGCGGCGUGCAUAACACAUUCAAGUCGAACGGAACUUGAGGCUUCGGUCUUAAGUUUAGUGGCGGACGGGUGAGUAACGCGUGAGCAAUCUACCUCUGGGUACGGAAUAACAACCGGAAACAGUUGCUAAUACCGCAUAAAAUAGCAGUGUUGCAUGACACAACUAUCAAAGAUUUAUCGCCAAGAGAUGAGCUUGCGUCCGAUUAGAUAGUUGGUGGGGUAACGGCCUACCAAGUCGACGAUCGGUAGCCGGACUGAGAGGUUGAACGGCCACAUUGGAACUGAGAUACGGUCCAGACUCCUACGGGAGGCAGCAGUGGGGAAUAUUGGGCAAUGGGCGAAAGCCUGACCCAGCGACGCCGCGUGAGGGAAGAAGAUCUUCGGAUUGUAAACCUUAGUCAACAGGGAAGAAGAAAGUGACGGUACCUGUGGAGGAAGCCACGGCUAACUACGUGCCAGCCGCCGCGGUAAUAC
rnacentral:rRNA from 1 species